AUGGAUCAGAGGACUCAGGGGGGACCCACCACGCCACCCCCCCUCCCUGCCACAGCUCCCUCGGGUGAGCGCGAGAAGGAGGGAGUAGGUGGGAAAAAGGAAGAAGAGGAGGAGAAGAGAAAGAAGGAACGGGAGGGGGCAAAGUCGGAGCCUGGUGUUGGCACUGAGGGUGCACCAGGUGACCAAUCCCAGCAGCAGCAGCAGCAGCAGCAGCAGUCCCCUCAGUUCUCCGUGAAGGAGGCCACUUACUCAGAGGGCAACGUCAAGAUGAAGAUCGGCCUCCAGGCCAAACGCAUGAAGAAGCCCCCCAAGAUCCUGGAGAACUACGUGUGCCGACCCGCCUUCCGGGCCACUGUACGACACUCUGGAAGAGGAGGGGGAAGGGGCAGCAGGGGAGCAGGGGCGAACGACACAGCCAGCCCGUCGCAUGGGAAAGAGGCGGAGAAGAGUCAGAGCGCCACCACACGACCUGUCCCGCCCCCAGCACAGACCCCACCCCCUCAAACCCCACCCACAUCCACAAGCCCCAUCAAUCCAGUCAAUGGAAGCCCACCAGCGAAGAGGGCUCUCCCGAAACUGGUUAGCAAGUCUGACAGCAAACCCGAGGGGAAGACAGCGGCCUCCAUAGAGAGACCCCUAAAUCUCCACCGCCCGCUGCCAGACACAAAGUUGCACUCCUCUGCCAAGAAAUCUCCCCUAGCCCAGCCGAGCACCCUGCCCACCCCCAGCCCGACUCCUCCAGCACCCCUGGCACCCUCCAAUCACGAGCCCAAGAUGGAGGGGGUCAUGAAGCCUCCCCAGUUUCCGUUCGGAGAGGCUCAGCGGGAGCAGGACCGAGGGGGCGCCCCCGGCUGGGGCUCGUCAACUGUCACAGAGAAGCUAGCGCAGCUCAUCGCCACCUGCCCCCCUACAAAGUGCCCCAAACAGCCCAAAGUUCGUAAGCCUUCCCCCUCGGCCUCGCACAGCAACUCAGUACCCCUCAUCUCCAACCUGCAGAGGCCCGAACGGGCCAUGGCCAACAGAGCCACCUACUCCAGGAUCCAGCACCUGUCCCCUCCCCCACCCGUGUCACGGCCCCCUGGCCGGCCUUACGGCUCCCGCAACAAAGACAGUGUCAUGGACAAGCUGACGUCUGCCCCCCGGAAGGAGGAUGUCGAUGGCGGGGUUAAGGGGAACACCAGCAGCAGUAGCAGCAUCAGCUGUACCUCCACAGCAACCACCACCACCGCCACCAACUCUGCCCUUCCCUAUGGCAACAGUCGCUUAGCAACCACAGCUAAUGACAACGACAACAACAGCAACAGCAGCAACAACUACAUCAAGACUCAGUCACGGCUCACGCACAGUUCACCUCACUCUUCUUCCUCACCUACCCUGUCCUCCGCUUCGUUAUCAGACCAGAGAACAGGAAGUGGGUCUGCACACAUAGGGGCCUCUUCCAUGCUGGGUCCUCGACCGAGGCCCAGUCCCUCCCAGACAGAAGAGAACAGUGAGAAAGAAAGAGAGCGAGAGCGGGACUACAGGGACAGAGAUUGCCCCAGAGACUUGAGCAAAGGGUCGUCCCCCUCUGGGUUGGGGAAGCCUGAGGCGAAAGAGAGAGGGUUGGCCUUGACCGCCAGAGGCGAGCGUGGGAAAAGCUCCAGCCCAGCCAAACACAGCCCGCUCCGGGAGAGUCGGCCUAGCCGGACGGCUAGCCCAGCUGAACCCGGAAUGCGCCGGAACACCUCCCCCUCCGACCCCUCGGGCAGCAGUCCGCCUCCACCUCUCAGUGACUCGGGCCCUGGUUCCCCUGCCUCUCCAGACGAGCAGGACAACAAGCCGCUGAAGAAGCGACGGGGCCGCCGACCACGAUGGACGCGCGUGGUGAACCGCUCCCAAAAGGCUGCACAGGAAGCUGCUCUCGGCCAGGCCAAGCCUGGCAUGCCUAUGUCGGCCCUGGGGCCCAAUCCGCCUCUACGGAGACCCGUUGGACGACCCCCUAACCCCAACAAGGUGACCCCCGCUGUCUCGCAGCUCUUUGGCGCCCCACCAAAAAAGAGGGGGCGCCCCAAGUCCAAGAUGCCCCGCCUGGAUGCUCCAGCCCGAGGGAGACCCCCUCUCAAGUUAGCCACCUCCAAGGUGUUCUCCAUCCUCAAGUCCAAAGAAGAACAGGACCCACCGGUACUGCACCCUGAGGUGGACCUCAACCCCCCCAAGCCAAUGCCGCGAAAGCGAGGACGCCCCAAGCGCCUGCCCCCUACGCUGCCCCAGGAAGGGCAGCCCCCCACGUUAGCGCCUGAGCAAGGCGACUCCACCGACAAAGGCUUCCGCAGCAAGGGCAAUGGGCAGCUCAUCAUGAAGACCAUCAUCGGGAAGAUCAACAAGAUGAAGACGGUGAAGCGCAAGCGACUGCUGAGCCAGAUCCUGCUGGGGUCUGGAGUCGGGGCGGAUGGCGAGAGCAGGGGGCCUGCAACCAGUGCGCCCGCCCCGGUGGCAGCAGCCACGCAGUCUCUGUCAUCCCUGGCUGCCACGUUCGGAGGCAAAUUGGGGCCCCAGAUCAAUGUCAGCAAGAAGGGCACCAUAUACAUGGGCAAGAGGAGGGGUCGCAAGCCCAAAGCAUCGGGUAACCCUCCUGCGGGGGCCCCGACACCCCCUCCGGAACCUUUCCUGUCCCCCAACACGUCUUCCCCACACCACCCGCACCCCUCCCAGUCUCUUCAGGGUCAGCAGCACCACCAGCUUCCCCCAACUGAUGUCUUCCCCUCCCCGUCUCUCUCGCAGUCCAGCGGAGGUCAGAGUCCCAUCAGCGAUGCCAGUUUCGUGGAGCCUGGCUCAGUGCACUGCACCCACUGCAGCCACUCACAUCACGGCCACCACUCCUUCCCCUUCGCGCCGCCGACCUUCUCCGCCCCCUCACCGCGCUCGCUGGGGCCAAUGGGAGGCUCUGGCUCGGCCUCUGCCUCCCAGAAGAAGUCUUGCCGCGGCUACCACCAUCACCACCACCACUACCGGACGCACUACCACUACAGGAAGCUGUCGCCUCCGCGGCCCCUGCUUCCCACCUCCCCUGCUCCUCUCAGUGAGCUGAAGGAGGCCACGCCAUCUCCAGUCAGUGAGUCCCACAGCGAGGAGACGGUACCUAGCGACAGCGGUAUCGGCACCGACAACAACAGCACGUCUGACCGUGGCGAGAAGGCAGGAGGGGCAGGACUUGGUGUGGGCGGAAUGCCCCAGGGCGUUGCCAGUGGCCUUCUCCUGCCAGGGGUCAUGGGGUCGGCUGUGGGCAUAGGGCCGGGACUCAGCCCGCGGGGCAGGAAGAGACACGCCUCUUCCGUACUGAUUGACCGCCCCUCUCCUUCCCCCUCUCCUCUGGGGGCACGGCCAUCCCCCGACCCCCGGCGGGCGCACCCUGCUGCCGGUCCGGCUUCGGCACUGGUCGGGCACAAGGAGAAGCACAAGCACAAGUGCAAGCGACGGGGACACGCGUGUCCGGCCUACGACAAGCUGAAGCGGCAGAAGCGCAAGCGCAAGAAGAAGUACCUGCAGCUGCGCUCGCGUCGCCAGGACCCCGACUUCCUGGCCGAGCUGGACGAGAUCUGUGUGGGUCUGAGCGACAUCCGCAUCUCCCACCGUACGCCCGCCAUGCGCCUUGGCAGCAGCCUGGCACUAGGCGCCAGUGCAGGGGGCACGGGUAGGGGUGCGAACCUGGCGGGCGGCCGCAGCAGCGGCAGCAGCAGUGCCAACCCGCCACCCCACCACUACUUGCACAGAGACCUGCUGCCCACCAUCUUCAGGAUCAACUUCAGCGGGUACUACUCGCCCCACCCAGCCUAUCCCUGCGACUCUCUGCACUAUGUCCGCAAGCCUGACCUCAAGAAAAAGCGAGGCAGGCCACCCAAGCUGCGUGAGUCCAUGUCCGAGAUGCCCUUCGUCCCUGGGCUUGGCUUCCCCCUGUCAAGUGGGGGCUUCUACCACCCCUCUUACAGCGUCCCCUACUCCUCCGGACCCCUGGGGUUGGGCUAUUAUCGUGGUUACCCCCCGGCUAGCGCCCUCUACCCCCACCCUCACCACCAGAACCCCCACUCAGCUCCCUCGCACCACCCGCACCACUCGCCCUCCUUCCCACCCCCACCUCCACCCUCCUACAUGCACCACCACCCCUCGCACCUGCUGCUCAACCCCUCCAAAUUCCACAAGAAGAAACACAAGCUGCUGCGCCAGGAGUACCUAGGCGGGGGGCGCUCCCCGGUCCUCUACCCCCCCCAUGGAGGAGCAGGAGGUGUAGGAGGAGGAGGAGGAGGAGGAGACGGUGUUGGUCUGGGCAGAGGAGAGAGAGGGGGUGCAGGGGCUAUGGAGGCCCUACAGCACUGUCGGUUUGGGAGAGACGGGUCGGCAGACAGUGCCAGCAAGCAGACGUCUGCAGUGGCCGCGGCUUCGGCUAACUCCCCUUCAUCCUCCUCCUCCUCCUCGGCCGAGCGCUACAAGCGAAAGGAAGCGUCGGCGUCGUGCCUGGGCCCCUCACGCCUGGCCCUUGGCAGCAGAGGCCACGCAUCUGCUGACUCCUGGUUCCGAGUGGGCUCCUCGGAGGCAGACUAUGCCAAACUGUCACACCACUCCGCCUCUGGCCAGCCUGCCUUCGCUGACGGACACUCCGCUGAGCCAAUCGGCUGCUCAGACAGUGAGGAGGACGAGGGCCUCUCCCCGGCGGAGGAAGAGGCAGAGUCGAGCGCACAGCACACCAACCUGUUUGCCUCUGCGCUCACGCGGAGCUCGCUGCGACCGGGCCGUGGCCGGAGGCCUGCCUCCUCGGACGGCAGCAACCUCUCGCGAUUGGACAGAUCCCUCCGGAAGGACCGGUCCACCUCGGCGGAGAGGAGAGAGACAGGUGAGUUGCCCCAGCCUGUCUGUCCCCAGCCUCCCUCGCUCCACCCUUCCCUCUCCCACCCCCACCCCCACUCAUCUUCCUCCAAUCGCUCCGUCGGCCCGCCGACCGCCUCAAGCUGCUACCCCACCACCGCCGGCGCCUCCUCCCCACCUCGUCACACCUCCUCCUCCGCCCAGCGCGGAGCACCACCCCCUACACCGCCACCCCCGCCCAAAAACAACCUGCACCACGUCAACAAGAUCCUGCGUGCCAAGAAGCUGCAGCGGCAAGCGCGCACCGGAAACAACAUGGUGAAGAAGCGUGGGCCCGGGCGCCCCCGGAAGUACCCGCUACCCUCACCGCCCCCCUCGCCCCCCCAGGCCCCUGGCCCAGACUUGGCCAGGCAGCGGGAGUGGGAGAGGGGGUGCUGGGAGGGGGACACGGUGUCGGACGCCAUCGAGUCAGUGGUGCAGGGACAGAAACGGAGGGGUCGCAAGAGAAAGCGCUGGGAAGGAGAGAGGGACGAGGAAGAUGAGGAGGGGGAAGACGAAGAGGAAGCAUCGGAGGAAGGGGAGGAGGAAGAGGAAGAAGAAGAGCGCAUGGCAGGAAGGGAGGAAGAGGCAGGGGCCAGGCAACGAGCAGGAGGAGAAAAAGGCUGGCUCACCCAGGAAGAGAUGCACUGUUUUCGCCAGGCCUCUGCGGAAGGCCCCGCCCCCGCACCUGUCCCUGCCCCUGCCCCCGCCCCUGCCCCCGCCCCGGUAGAACAGGCCCCACCCACUGCCGCCGUGCCCACUCCACGGGAGAAGAGAGCCUCCAGACCACCCAAGAAGAAGUUCCAGAAGGCGGGGCUUUAUUCUGAUGUGUACAAAACUGAAGAUCCACGCAGUCAGCUACUGCAGCUGAAGAAGGAGAAGCUGGAGUACAUUCCAGGAGAACAUGAAUAUGGCCUUUUCCCUGCGCCUAUCCACGUCGGGAAGUACCUGAGACUUAAGCGCAUUGACUUCCAGUUGCCUUACGACAUCCUGUGGCUGUGGAAACACGAUCAGCUUUAUAAGCGACCUGAUGUCCCACUCUACAAGAAGAUCAGAUCCAAUGUGUACGUGGACGUGAAGCCUGUGUCGGGGUACGAGAACACCACCUGUAACUGCCGCGCCCCCUUAGACAGCGCUGAGAAGGGCUGCCAGGACGACUGCCUGAACAGGAUGAUCUUCGCGGAGUGUUCCCCGGGCACAUGCCCGUGCAGGGACAAGUGUGACAACCAGCACAUCCAGCGGCACGACUGGGUGCAGUGCCUAGAGCGGUUCCGCGCCGAAGGCAAGGGCUGGGGCAUCCGCACCAAAGAGACGCUGAGCGCCGGACAGUUCAUCAUCGAGUACCUGGGCGAGGUGGUCAGUGAGCACGAGUUCAGGAACCGUAUGAUGGAGCAGUACUUUGCCCACAGUGGCCAAUACUGCCUUAACCUGGACAGUGGCAUGGUGAUCGACAGCUACCGCAUGGGCAACGAGGCCCGCUUCAUCAACCAUAGCUGCGAGCCUAACUGUGAGAUGCAGAAGUGGUCGGUGAAUGGUGUGUACCGGAUUGGACUAUUUGCACUUAAUGACAUGCCCAGUGGCACUGAGCUCACUUACGAUUACAACUUCCACUCCUUCAACAUGGAGGACCAGCAAACGUGUAUGUGUGGCUCGGAGGCGUGCCGUGGCAUCAUCGGUGGGAAGAGCCAGCGAAUCAACGGCCUCCCUCCCAAGGCCGGUGGGUCAGGAGCCGGAGCUCGGAGGCUGGGGAGGUUGAAGGAGAAGCGCAAGUCAAAACACCAACUCAAGAAACGGGAGGAGGAGUCGAGUGACAGCAGCAAAUUUUAUCCCCACCUACUCAUGAAGCCCAUGUCCAACAGAGAGAGAAAUUUUGUGCUGAAGCACCGUGUCUUCCUGUUGCGGAACUGGGAGCGAAUGCGUGAGAAGCAGGAGAUGCUGAAGAGAGAGGGAGAGCGGGAGCGAGAGAGGGAGAACAGCAGCCUGUCUGUAUACUCACGCUGGGGCAGUGUCAUCCGCGACGAUGGCAACAUCAAGUCAGAUGUGUUCCUGACGCAGUUCUCGGCGCUGCAAACCUCCCGCUCGGUACGGACGCGCAGGCUGGCUGCAGCCGAGGAGAACACAGAAGUCACUCGCACCGCCCGGCUGGCUCACAUCUUCAAGGAGAUCUGUGACAUGAUCACCAGCUACAAGGACUCUGAAGGACAAACACUAGCUGCUCCUCUACUAAACCUACCCUCAAGGAAAAGGAACACGCAGUACUACGAGAAGGUGUCUGACCCGCUUGACUUGACCACCAUAGAGAAGCAGAUCCUGACGGGCCAUUACAAAACUGUGGAGGCCUUCGAUACGGACAUGCUCAAGGUGUUCCGCAACGCAGAGAAGUAUUAUGGGCGUAAGUCUGCGGUGGGCCGUGACGUGUGCCGGCUCAGGAAGGCGUACUACGGUGCGCGGCACGAGGCGGCCGUCCAGAUCGACGAGAUCGUGGGGGAGACCGCCAGCGAGGCCGACAGCUCAGAUUCGCUGGAGCGGGACCACACCCACCACCACCAUCACCAUGGCAGCGGUGGCCACGACAAGGACGACGACAUCAUCCGCUGCAUCUGCGGCAUGUACAAGGACGAGGGCCUGAUGAUCCAGUGUGAGAAGUGCAUGGUGUGGCAGCACUGUGACUGCAUGCGUCUGGAGGCUGAGGUAGAGCACUACCUGUGUGAGCAGUGUGACUCCCGCCCUGUGGACCGGGAGGUGCCCAUGGUGCCCCAGCCCAGCUACGCACAGGCCGGCUCCAUCUACUACAUCUGCCUACUCAGAGACGAGCUGCUGCUACACCAGGGGGACUGUGUGUACUUGAUGAGGGACAGCAAGCGGACGCCAGAGGGCCAGCCAGUGCGUCAGUCCUACCGGCUCCUCUCUCACAUCAACAGAGAGAAGCUGGACAUCUUCCGCAUCGAGAAGCUCUGGAAGAAUGAGAAAGGGGAGCGGUUUGCCUUCGGACAUCAUUACUUCCGGCCGCAUGAGACGCACCACUCGCCCUCGCGACGCUUCUACCAGAACGAGCUCUUCAGGGUCCCGCUGUACGAGAUCAUCCCUCUGGAGGCUGUGGUGGGCACCUGCUGUGUGCUCGACCUCUACACCUUCUGCAAAGGGCGGCCCAAGGGAGUAAAAGAGCAGGACGUGUACAUCUGCGACUACCGACUGGACAAGUCCGCUCACCUCUUCUACAAGAUCCACCGUAACCGCUACCCAGUGUGCACCAAGCCCUACGCCUUUAACCACUUUCCCAAGAGGCUGGCACCCAAGAGGGACUUCUCUCCCCACUAUGUCCCAGACAACUACAAGCGGAACGGCGGCCGCUCUGCCUGGAAAAGCGAGCGGCCGAAAGGGGCAGCGCCCUGCGAGGAAGAGGAUCGGGGCUCUGCCCCUUUCCCUCGUGACGCAGAGGAGGUGGGGGCCCGAGGAGGAGGGGGCGAGGACGAGCCUGAAGAAGAGGUGGAGGAGAUGGAUGAACGGAGGGAGACGGGCGAGGGUUCAGGGGAGAGAGGAGGAGCGGGAGGAGGAGGUGGGGGUGCAGGUGCAGAGGCGUCUGAGGUCGUUCCCUCCUCCUUGUCGCUCUCGUCGUCGCCCCUCCACCACUCAGCGCCUCUGAGCCGGCGAGAGGCGCAGCGAGACCGACUCAACAAGAUCCUGCUGGAGCUGCUGCACAGAACCCCCAGCAAACAGGUGAUUGACGUGACCUACCUGCUGGAGGAGGGCUCUGGGAGGAAGCUGCGCAGACGUACGCUGGGAUUGGGUGACCUAGUGGGCAGGAAGUGAUAUCAUUAUCAACCCUGAUGCCUGGCAAGCACGUUUUCCUCUCUGUGGCCGGGUGAAAGAGAAAAGGGAAGAGGAGAAGACAGGAGCAAGGGUGGAGAGAGAGAAAUAGAUGAAAGGAGAGGUUUCUCUCUCUAUCUGCAGGACACCGCCGCCUACACGAUCCCCAUUAGAGGAUUCAUAGGAAGUGACCGUUUCUCAGGGCGACAUGCGGACGUUUCCAUGGCGCCCAGGCCCUGACACAUUCAAACCCAUGACGAUGCAAUGAGUGUCAAAACAAAAACAUAGGAACCUGUAAUUUUUGUGGCGCUUUACAGAGAACUCUACGGCGCAAACAAAACAAAGCAAAACAAAAAACGAAAAAGCCUUGAACUGAAUAACAGACUUAUAACUCCCAGAGGGACUCAGACCUUAAAGCGGAAUAAAAUGAAAGAGGAGCGAGUGAGUGAGUGAGGA
ensembl:lncRNA